rnacentral:rRNA from 1 species
UACAGAGGUCUCAAGCGUUGUUCGGAUGCAUUGGGCGUAAAGGGUGCGUAGGCGGCGCGGUAAGUCGGGUGUGAAAUCUCGGAGCUUAACUCCGAAACUGCAUUCGAUACUGCCGUGCUUGAGGACUGGAGAGGAGACUGGAAUUUACGGUGUAGCGGUGAAAUGCGUAGAUAUCGUAAGGAAGACCAGUGGCGAAGGCGGGUCUCUGGACAGUUCCUGACGCUGAGGCACGAAGGUCAGGGGAGCAAACGGG